rnacentral:rRNA from 1 species
CCUUCUGGCUUCAAACUGACGCUGAGUACGAAGCGUGGGAGCGAACAGGAUUAGAUACCCUGGUAGUCCACGCCGUAACGAUGAGUAUUUGGUGCUGGGGAUUCGACCUUCAGUGCCGUAGCUAACGCGAUAAUACUCCGCCUGGGACUACGAUCGCAAGAUUGAACUCAAGAUGACGGGACCGCACAAGCGGUGGAACAUGUGGUUUAAUUCGAUGAUACGCGAAGAACCUUACCUGGGUUUGACAUGUUAGUGAAAGUUUUCUGAAAAGAAAUCCCUUUAAGAGCUUGCUCUUAAACACUAUCACAGGUGGUGCAUGGCUGUCGUCAGCUCGUGUCGUGAGAUGUUAGGUUAAGUCCUGCAACGAGCGCAACCCCUAUAUUUAGUUGCCAGCACAUAAUGGUGGGGACUCUAGAUAGACUGCCCGGAAUAACCGGGAGGAAGGUGGGGAUGAUGUCAAGUCAGUAUGUCCCUUAUACCCAGGGCUACACACGUGUUACAAUGGAUAGUACAAAAAGUCGCAAUCCCGCGAGGAGGAGCCAAUCUUUAAAACUAUCCCCAGUUCAGAUUGAAGUCUGAAAUUCGACUUCAUGAAGCAGGAAUCGCUAGUAAUCGUAGGUCAGCACACUACGGUGAAUACGUUCCCGGGUCUU